rnacentral:misc_RNA from 1 species
GAUGAAGAACGUAGCGAAAUGCGAUACGUAAUGUGAAUUGCAGAAUUCAGUGAAUCAUCGAGUCUUUGAACGCACAUUGCGCCCCCUGGUAUUCCGGGGGGCAUGCCUGUCCGAGCGUCAUUGCUGCCCUCAAGCACGGCUUGUGUGUUGGGCCUCCGUCCUCCUCCCGGGGGACGGGCCCGAAAGGCAGCGGCGGCACCGCGUCCGGUCCUCGAGCGUAUGGGGCUUCGUCACCCGCUCUUGUAGGCCCGGCCGGCGCUUGCCGAAACAUCAAUCUUUUUUCAGGUUGACCUCGGAUCAGGUAGGGAUACCCGCUGAACUUAAGCAUAUCAAUAAGCGGAGGA